CUGAGGGCUCCCAGAUUGUCACCCUUCCCAUUUAGAGCACCACAGACAAUGUCCCUUGUCCCAUUACCAGAGGUGUCUGCCUUCUUUGUGUCAUCAGACCUUAAAAUCUGUGACCAACCAGCUCCAGCCCAGCUCCAACCCAACUCCAACCCAACUCCAACCCAGCUCCAAUCCCAGCUCCAACCCAGCUCCAAAUCCCAGCUCUAAUCCCAGCUCCAACCCAACUCCAACCCAGCUCCAAAUCCCAGCUCCAACCCAACUCCAAUCCCAGCUCCAACCCAGCUCCAAUCCCAGCUCAAGCCCAGCUCCAGCCCAGCUCCAGCCCAACUCCAGCCCAACUCCAACCCAGCUCAAACCCAGCUCCAAUCCCAGCUCCAACCACAGCUGAAACCCAGCUCCAGCCCAACUCCAAUCCCAUCUCCAACCCCAGCUCCAAUCCCAUCUCCAACCCCAGCUCCAAUCCCAGCUCCAAUCCCAGCUCAAACCCGGCUCCAACCCAACUCCAACCCAGCUCCAACCCAGCUCAAAUCCCAGCUCCAUUCCAACCCCAGUCCCAGCUCCAACCCAACUCCAAUCCCAAAUCCAACCCCUGCUCCAAUCCCAGCUCCAAUCCCAGCUCCAAUCCAGCUCCCUGGGCUGUUCCUGCUCCUCCUGAGGAGGAGGUGAUGCUGCUGGGUGCCCACGUGGAUCUCCUGAGCUGGCAGGGACCCCGGAGCAGCAGGGACACCGUCACUCUCUCGUCACUUGUGUCGCUG
rnacentral:lncRNA from 12 species